rnacentral:rRNA from 1 species
GACGAACGCUGGCGGCGUGCUUAACACAUGCAAGUCGAACGGAAAGGCCCUGCUUUUGUGCGUUGCUCGAGUGGCGAACGGGUGAGUAACACGUGAGUAACCUGCCCUUGACUUUGGGAUAACUUCAGGAAACUGGGGCUAAUACCGGAUAGGAUCUCCUGCUGCAUGGUGGGGGUUGGAAAGUUUCGGCGGUUGGGGAUGGACUCGCGGCUUAUCAGCUUGUUGGUGGGGUAGUGGCUUACCAAGGCUUUGACGGGUAGCCGGCCUGAGAGGGUGACCGGCCACAUUGGGACUGAGAUACGGCCCAGACUCCUACGGGAGGCAGCAGUGGGGAAUAUUGCACAAUGGGCGGAAGCCUGAUGCAGCAACGCCGCGUGCGGGAUGACGGCCUUCGGGUUGUAAACCGCUUUCGCCUGUGACGAAGCGUGAGUGACGGUAAUGGGUAAAGAAGCACCGGCUAACUACGUG